CAGCUCAAAUUUGAAAUCUGGCUCUUUUAGAGUCCGAAUUGUAAUUUGUAGAAGAUGCUUUGGGUGUGGCUCCGGUCUAAGUUCCUUGGAACAGGACGUCAUAGAGGGUGAGAAUCCCGUAUGUGACUGGGUGCCUUCGCCCGUGUAAAGCUCUUUCGACGAGUCGAGUUGUUUGGGAAUGCAGCUCAAAAUGGGUGGUAAAUUUCAUCUAAAGCUAAAUAUUGGCCAGAGACCGAUAGCGCACAAGUAGAGUGAUCGAAAGAUGAAAAGCACUUUGGAAAGAGAGUUAAACAGUACGUGAAAUUGUUGAAAGGGAAGCGCUUGCAACCAGACUUGCAUGUGGUUGAUCAUCCGAGGUUUUCCUCGUUGCACUUGAUCACAUUCAGGCCAGCAUCGGUUUGGGUGGUUGGAUAAAGGCCUUGGGAAUGUAGCUUCCUUCGGGGAGUGUUAUAGCCCUCGGUGCAAUGCAGCCUAUCCGGACCGAGGACCGCGCUUCGGCUAGGAUGCUGGCGUAAUGGUUGUAAGCGACCCGUCUUGAAACACGGACCAAGGAGUCUAACAUCUAUGCGAGUGUUUGGGUGUCAAACCCAUACGCGUAAUGAAAGUGAACGGAGGUGAGAACCCUUAAGGGUGCAUCAUCGACCGAUCCUGAUGUCUUCGGAUGGAUUUGAGUAAGAGCAUAGCUGUUGGGACCCGAAAGAUGGUGAACUAUGCCUGAAUAGGGUGAAGCCAGAGGAAACUCUGGUGGAGGCUCGCAGCGGUUCUGACGUGCAAAUCGAUCGUCAAAUUUGGGUAUAGGGGCGAAAGACUAAUCGAACCAUUGUAUCACAACACACCGCAGGAACGGUGCUAG
rnacentral:rRNA from 1 species